UGCAGCCACAUGUUUGAUGAGUAGUCUCAGAAAUCAUCUGCUGCAAUCCUUCCCUUUACCUUUACCCUUACCCUUACCCUUUACCUACCUUUGUUUAUGCCUUCGAAAUCAUCGUCUUUUCACUCCUAUCCAUGAUAUAUAUGAGGGUGCCGCCCAAUAAGGCAUGAAGGAGCUUGGAAGCUAAAUCCUGACUCUGAGAAAGUGAUCUGUCUACGAGGACGUUCUAAAAUGGAGAUGUUUUUGAUGACAACCGUUGCCGUUUCAAAAG